UACAGAGGUCUCAAGCGUUGUUCGGAUUCAUUGGGCGUAAAGGGUGCGUAGGCGGCGCGGUAAGGCGGGUGUGAAAUCUCGGAGCUUAACUCCGAAACUGCAUUCGAUACUGCCGUGCUUGAGGACUGGAGAGGAGACUGGAAUUUACGGUGUAGCGGUGAAAUGCGUAGAUAUCGUAAGGAAGACCAGUGGCGAAGGCGGGUCUCUGGACAGUUCCUGACGCUGAGGCACGAAGGCCAGGGGAGCAAACGGG
rnacentral:rRNA from 1 species